GCAGCCCGCUGUCCAGCUGCGCUGAGACCGGCGUGCUGCGGGCUGCUGCCGCCUCACGUUGCGCCAGGGGAGGCUCAGGUUGGAUUUAGGAACAAUUUCUUCUCGGUGAGGCACUGGCACAGGGGAGCCACCAUCACGGGGCGUGUUCAAGAAACGCGUGGAUGUGGCAGUGAGGUUAGCGGGCAUGGUGGGGAACGGAAUGGCAGCUGGAGUGGGUGAUCUUAGGGGGCUUUUCCAAGUGUAAUGAUUCCGUGAUUCUGUGGUAAGUUUGCGUUACCGCUCUUGCUUUGUCCCUGUGGAGACCUCAAGACUCCACACUGAUGCGUGCAGCUGACCGAGCGUCAGAGAUGGGCGCGGGAAUGUGGGAGCUGUGUGGUGCCGGUGGGGGGCAGCGGGCUGUGGUUAAACAUGUGUGUGCACCCCUUACGGCUUGCCUGGGCCACGCCGACUGAAGAGGAUUUGUCCUGGGCUGCGUGUAAAAUACAUAGACGUCGCUCCAAAAGUAAUGCCUCCCAAUUCAUUCCUGUGAAAACUACAGCCUGCAUGCUGCGCUCGUAAAAACUUGCACCGACGGAGGUGACCCACUGUCACCACAGCUGAAAUGCAGCACCCACUGCCUCACUGUGUUCACGUCCACCGUGUGAUCUCCAUAAACCAUGGAUGUCAGUGGGCGCCAUUUUUUCCACCUAGAGGAAUUCAGUUCCAUACCUUUGCUUCGUGUGCAUUUCCAUGCCAGACAGCAUUGUGUCAGGCUGCCUCUCAGCUGCCAUCUGUCACAUGGCAACAAAAUGUAACAAUAUUGGCAGUAAGGUUCAACCUUUACUGCCAUACCGCCAUCAUCCACCUCUAAUGUUGUGCGGUUGCAAUUCAUAGUUAGCUUACAAGGAGUUCACCCGAGGUUUUUAUGACAUUUUACUCUUCCUGUGCUUCAUCCUUAAAAAUAGUUGUUCACAAAUGUAUGUACUGCCAAAAAGCAAUGACAUGAAUAAGGUGUGAUUGUGAACCUUUUCCUAACCCUCACACUGACCUGACCCUCCUUUGACAGAGCUCCAUGCUGUUCCUUUCGUUGGUCCCAUCACUGUCACCAGAGGGAAGAGCUCAGCACGGCCCUUCUGCUUCCCUCAUGAGGAAGCUGUAGGCCCACCACGAGGUCUUCUCUCAGUAUUCCCUUCUCUUUGACUGAACAAACCAAGCAACCUCAGCAGCUCUUCAUACCACUUGACCUCCAGACCCUUCAUCACUGAAUAUUGCUGCUUUUUACUAAUGUAGAUUUCUAAUGGAAGAAAUCCGGAAGAAUCCCAUCUGAAGAAUCCCUUUUCGGAUGAGGACUUGAUAUAAGGUCAGUAUUAAAGAAGAGUACUUGUAGAAAAGGUUAUGAUGGAGAUGAGCUGAAUAAACCUUGAAGGUAAAUGAUUGGCCCUGUGGCUUUCAUUAACCUCAAAAAUUAAGGAGCUUAAUUGCAUAAGGUAGUGUGUAAUGUCCUACUCAAAUCUUUCCUUAGUAUCUGAAGGCUUUAUGGUAACAACAUUGACACCAGACUUUAAAAGAGAUUGCAGCGGAGUUUUGGGAAAUUGCAGGUCUCUAAGCCUGGUGUUUGUUCCAGGAAACUUGUUAGAAAUAACAGAAUUUAAGAUUCGUACAUACUGGAACAAAGGUCAGUUGCAAUAGUCAAUAUUGCUACUGCAAGAGGAAAUCCUGUUUUGCAAAACUCCUGGAGUUCUGUGAAAGGUUGAGAAGACAUGAAAAUUACAGUAAUCUGAUUGAUUGUUGUGUUCUGUUUGAAAUUCCUAAAACCCUUGUAAGUAAAUGUUAUAAACAGGGAAAAAAAAAAAACCAACAACAUUAAAAAGGAGAGAGGUGUUACGGAUAUAUUAUUGGUUAGAACAUAAGGCAUAGGUAGGGAUAAAUGGUCAGUUCUUUCAGUUGAGGAAAAUUACCACUAAGGUUCUAUGAUAGUCAGCAGUGUAACUUUGAUAAGAGAUCCAGAAGUAUUGUAUAAAAGCAGUUAGUGGCAAGAUUUGUCAAUGGGAUGAAAUUAUUCAAAGUAUCAAGAACUUAAGCAGACUAGAAAAUUGUAUUAGAAACUACAAGACUGAGUGACUGAACAGUUACAUGACAGAUGAAAAUAAAUGCUGGUAAAUCAAGUAUGGCAUAGAGAUUAAACACAUUUCCAAGUGAGAUCCUGUGGUUACAUGAAGCAGGUCAGCCCUACAUUCAGUAGCAGUCAGGAAAGGAAAUCAAAUGUUGGGAAUGAUGACAUCAUUAUGCCAUUGUGUAAAUUCUUGGCUUGCCUACAUCUUGAGUGCAGUUGUGUUGUUCUGGCCUCCGUGUCUCAAAAACAAUCUACUAGAAUUAGAAGGAGAAGGACAAUCCUAUGUGGGACAGUCCUAUAUGAGAUAACAUGGUAAGUUAGAACUGGAAAUGGAGAUGUUGCUGGGGAAGGGCAAAUGUUGCAUGCUUUUCCUUCAAAAACAAUCUCUUCUAGGAUGGAAAACAGCUCAUCUCUUGACAUGAGUGCAACAGAGGAUUCCAGUUCUUGGUACCUCCAUGGCCUUCAAGUUGCUUCAUUCCUGCUUAAAUACAAGUUCAACUCUGCCUGUUUCUGGAAGACUACUUUACCCCUUGACACAGGUUUGAAGGUGAUGGCAUCUUCAAGGUGUAACCCAGUGUUGUCUAACACAGCUAGAUACAUGGCCAACGCAAGGUUCACUUGAGAAACAUUCAGGAAAAGAGGAAGAGGAGGAAGUGGUGUUGAGCCUGUCUUAACUUUGGAUCAAGCUCUGAUGGCAAGGGUUUAACUGAGCUUGAAAAUGGCAACUUGACCCCUGGAAUCCUCUUCAGCAGGCAGUGAGUUGACACAGGAGGAAGCAAGGACACGAAGGUGAGAAGGACCAUCUAUGAGGUCUUUGUAGUUAGAAUCCUUGAAGAAGUGAAUAUUGAUCUGUGCCUUUCAGCAGGUCUUUCUUAGUUGCAGCCCCAGUAGCAGUGCACAAGGAAGCAAUGGGACUGUGGUGGUAGUGGCAGAUACUCCCACAGUUGAGAAUAUGCUGCUUUCAGAUGAAUUUACAACUGCUUGUCUAUAAACUCUGGCAGCAGUGAAUCCAUGCUGUCAAAGCUGAUUGACUUGCUCAUGGCAGAUGAUUGUAGAUGUUUCUGUAGACUGAAUUUUUGAGAAGACCUUUUAACUUACCUUGACUCCUUCUGUCAGUUGUUGGUGAGUCCCUGAAUAGGUGAUGCCUCUUGCUGAUACAUUCUUGGUGACAAUGAUUACAGCAGUGAUUGCAUGGGUGUAGGAUAACUGCUGUGGCCAGGCUAGCAAGAUGUCUUUCCUCCUUUUUCUUUUCAUAGAUACCACCCUGCUUUUCUGUGUUUCUACCAUUGGGCUGGGGAAAGAACUCAGCGAGGAGAGGGGGAAUGAAGUGUUAUGGGAAAAAAGUUAUUUUUUAGGAAGACAAAUAAGGAAAAUAAUGGGAAUGUAGAGUCAUAGAACAGCCAAGGUUGUAAGAGAAGUAUGAUGUCUUUUGCACCUCUGCUGCCUAAAGCAGGGCCACCUAGAGCAGGUUGCUCAGUCGUGUGUAACAAGAUUUUAAGUAUCUUCAAGGAUGAAGACACCACAACCUUUUGUUGGUGUUUUAUCACCCUAAGAGUAAAAAGAUGUUUAAUUUGUGUUAACCACAUCUUGUUCUGUCCCUGGCUACCACUGAGAAGAGUUUGUGUCUAUCUCAUUAACAUUAGCUACUUGUGUACUUUAAUAAGAUCCUCACUGAGCCUUUCCAUCUUGAGGCUACCCAGUUACCUCAACACCUCCUUAUAUGUCAGAUGCUCCACUUCCGUAAUCUUCUUAGGGCCCUUAGUGUCAGGUUCACUAGGCUCACUUCUGUAUAUCCAUCAACUUUCCUCUGGAGAACCCACAUCUGAAUGAAUAAUGAAGUCAGGUUUUCCUCAGCAACAUUUAUCCUUCAAGGCACUAUGCAAAUAUUGACUGAAUUCUAUUACAGAUAACACGUCCAUAGCCAGUUUUAUCUUCCUAUUUUGGUUGUUCCCUUUUACAUCUGUUAUGCUUGCCUUAAAAGUAAUUACUAUGUAGGCCAGCAGUAAUUAAAACAGUACUUUAAAGAACCCAUUCAGAGAUGUAAUUUCUGAAAAUGCUCCUAUGUAAGUGUCUUGCACUCCAGUUGUGCUUUUGCUAGCAGCAUUUACAGCAGCAUCACCCCAAUGAGUUAUUUGGAAUUACUCUUUAAUUUCACACUAAAAACAUGACGAGAGUCAGAUAUUCUGAACCAGGCUAUAGCACACUCAGAGGGAGAAAAAUCCUCAUAGGCAAAACUUGAUUUUUCCUUUGUUAAUGUGAACAUUCAAAUGUCACACCCUCAUCCCAGCAUAAUCUCUGUGAAGCUGAGAUGUGCAGCAGAACGGGGUACAGAGAUUUAUAAGGUUUUAUGAGACUAAGAAGAAAGGUCAACCUUGCAGCUGGGUAUGAGGGAGGUUAUCACAGUGCUAGAGCUUGGUUUAUGCAUUUCUACAGCACUGAAGGUUGGGGAAAAGCCAUGAGAACAUCUAUUAGGACUUAAGUGUGCUUUCUGAAGUGCAGCUACGAGCAGAAGAUUUCAUUUCCUUUCAUACAGGAGGAAGACGAACUUUACCUCUGAUUAUCAUUGCUUUCAUAAUUAAGAAACUAAAAGCACAGCUGUAGUAUCCCACAUACAAAUGAAAGAAAAAGUGAUGAAAAAAAUGAGAAGAAAGAGAGAGGAGUAAUGUUGGCAGAGCAGUUGAAUAGGCGUUUGUGCAGAUUACAUUCUGGUACAUUUAACACAUUUAACACAUCAUUAUUAAUGUGGUAUCUUGCUCUGACAUCCAGCAGGGUCUCUACCAGUUCUUGGGAAGAAGAGAAAAGGCAACACAAUUAAAAUCAUUUCCUAUCCAAGCUGUUACUAAUCCCCACCAAAGACAAACCAAAUCAAAACAAUACCUUAAGGCAAACUUCAUCACUUUUUCUUGAAGAUUUUAUGUUGUGUUGACAAAAUAAUAUUUCUCAAGCAUUAGAUGAAGCACAGAAGUUCAGUGAAGAGCAUUUAAUUUAUUCUUAAUAGGGUUUUAGCCAUACUAUCACUCAACCACACAGGGAAAGCCAUCCUGUACAUAUGCAUGCUAGUGCUGCAUCUCUCCCUAGCAACUCUUAAAAGGACAUAAAUUAUCCUUUCUGCUGUUCCUCUGCAUCCUGUAGACACUGAAAAAUUUUGACAUUUUCCCUUUCUUUUCCCUCCAUCUCCUUUGGUUCCUACUGCAACAGUCUCUUCUUUAACAUGAAUGCCUUGAACUCACCACCUUUAUCUCAUAGGCCUUUUCAUCUAAGAGCUUUCCUUUCUCUCCAACAAUACACAAAAACCCUAUCCAAAAGUAGUUUUGAUCCCUCGUGAAAAUAGAAGCACUUUGUUGUGAUGUAAGUCUGGUGGGCAAUUAAGAACCAGAGAGCUGCUUACUCACUCCCCCUUCUGUGUUAUGGGAAAGAGAAUGAAGGAGCAAAAGUCAGAAAAUUCAGGGAUGUGAUAAAGGCAGUUUAAAAAUGGAAACAACAACAAAACCUAGAAAACCAAGUUAUGUGAAAGGCAGUUCUCACCACUCACUGAUGCCAAAUCAAUCCUGGCAAAGUCCCCUACAGCUUUAGCAGUGAGCAUGACAUCAUAUGGGAUAUCCCUUUGGUCAGCUGAGGUCAGCUGUCCUGAUUCCAUCCCUUCCCAAAUUCUUGUGCAUACCCAGCCUUCCUCUGUCUGGGCAGUGUAAGGAGCAGAAAAGGCCUUGCUUUUUUGUAAGCACUGUUCAGCAUCAACUGAAAUGUUCGUUACCAACUCUGUUUCCAUCACAAAUUUAUAACAUAGCGCCAUACAAGCUAAUUAUGAAGAAAAUCAAUUCUACCCCAGCCAAAAAAUAAUGCAGCUGUAUUCUUCCCAUUGCAGCCAUCAGGAUCACCACUACCACCACAGAAAGUUCCAAGAAAAUGCAGACAAGCCAUUUGCUACUAACUCCACCAAUCUUCUCAUUCAGCAGAAUGGUUUUAUGAGAAAGGAAGUGCACAAGCUCCACCUAAAAGACCCAGCAAUAUGGCUGCAGCCUCAGGCAGCUGUAUUGUUGACCACAGACAUUUUCUUCUUGGACCCCCUUUGAAGACAGUGGCAUCAGCCCUUAGAGUGUGUCAUGGUGCUACUUGGCAGAGCCCAUAUCUGCAGCCACAUCUCAUGCCAUUCUAUUUAGAAAUGCCAGGAUCUAUCCCCAUCCUGCAUCUGUGGCCUCCAGAUUGUCAGUUCACCCCAUCAAAAAUAUACAUGUGGAAAUCAGAGACCUUUAGGCAUAGCCAAAGGUUCUAACCUUGUCUCUUGAAGAGGCAAAGAAAUACAGUUUUCUCAGUGGUGUUGAAGAAAUGUUACCAGACCUGGGAAAGAAAGGGAAUUUGGUUGCUAGAACAUCUUUGUCACUUUCAGUAUAUGGGGAAUUUUUAAAUCUUACUCCCCACCCUGUAUUAUUAUGUCUUAUUCUCCACCUUAUCUAUUUAACAAAAUAUAUAUUCAACAGUUAACUGGAAAGAAACACACACACACAAACAAAACAAACCAAAACCUAACACAGAAGAGGAGACACUAGAUACUAACAUGGAAGCCAUGGCUUUGGUCUGCCUAUUAGCUCUACUCUUGAGCUGCUUUCUGCUGGCAAAAGGAGUUCUCUGAGCCUGCCAUUAUAUGCCGUGUGUCCCAUCCUUGAAUGAUUCCCUUGUGGAUGAAGGAAGAGGGUCAAGGAGGCAAAGGACCCUUUUCCUGUAAAUGGCUCCUCCAUGCCUUAUUGCUUGCCGGAGAGAAAGGCUGCCCAUUGGGCACAGGGGCUGCCUUCUAGCUCCCAUCCUGUGCCCUGUCCUCCAGCCCCCUUUUUACGCCAUGCUGAACACCACUCCCACCAUCACGGUGGCCAUCACAGAAUCUUACUGGUGUCACAGUAGUCACUGCUGCCCCGUACCAUGUACUCAGCUCCAAGACCUCUGGUGAUAAACAAUUGUGGCUGAUACCAAGAGAACCAGGAGCACUGAUUGCCCAGUUUUACAUGGGAAGAAAGAGUUUGGGUUCCCAGAACCGAAGAGGUGGUGGAGACUUGUGAAGCAGAACAAAUGCAGGAGGAAAAGUACCUGUGCCCAUAGAGCAAUGGCCUGGCCUGGGACUACUGUUCUGCAGCCCAUGGAGAUGGAUGCACUCCAGAUGAAGAACCAAUGGAAGUGGAUUGACCUCCACUACAGCUGUCUUGGCAUAUUAUUAUGCCAGAGUGAGGUUACAGCAGCGGCAUUGAAGGUCCAGGUGCCCAGCCCCCUAUCUGCUCUGCACCCAGAAUUAACUGGGAGGCCAUUCAUUAACAUCCUGUGGGCUUGCAUGCAGGAUAGCCUCCUUUCCUAUCCCCUGUCCUUGCCCCUUGUAAAGAGACAGCAUCUCUUCUGCAUGGAUUCCCAAGGAAGCAGGCAAACGUGGACUCGGCUUGUUUUUUGCUGCUUCAUUGUGUCUACAAGAGGUGCCCCUCAGAGAGCUGCUGUAGACCUUGAGCCCUAGAGGUGGGGUGUCUCAGCCUGAAGAUGUGAAUGCUACCCAACAAGUGCUGAAAGGUGAAGCCAGACCUUCCGUGGUGGUGCACAAAGAACAGCAGCAGAUCAAUGAAAAAAGAGAGAGCUGUUCCUUCGAAGCUAAUGAAAACACUGUCCCCACAAGGGUGCCCAAACAGAAAAGGUGUCCAAAUGGGUUUCACAUUCUGUCCUUGGAGGCAUCUGAACCUAAAAGAACAAAACUGGAUGUUCACAGACAUCACUGUCUCUUUUGUGUCCCUCAGGGCCAUCUUCUGGCAGAUGUCUUAAGACCAAGAGCUGCUCCUUGGAAAUCCACCUACAGGCUCCCAUUCUGGUGCUACUAAUGAUUCUUACAACCAGACUAGAGACUCUUCCUUAAAAUGAGGGAACAAGAAGCCACAAAUAUGGUGGCUGCUGUUCAUGUGACCAGUGGUGUGCGGAUCAUGAAUGUGGAUCUGACAGAGAACAGCGUUAGGCUCAGGCAUGUCAGUUGCCUGGAGAAGGAUACGUGGCUAAGGCACACCAAUCAUCCAGUGAGUUGCAAGGGGCCCGGGUAAGUCCGUCCACCAAAGGAUGAGGAAUCUAUGGAGGUAGAUCCACCACAAGAUGGAGAACUGAUGGAAGUGGACCCACCUGUGAGACACAUGACCAUCCUCAGAGUGCCUCGGCUCUCUGCUACAAAAUCAGGGCAAUACAGCUGCAGGAGUAGCAGGUCAGCUUGCUGUCUGCAUCAGUCUCUGCUCCCCCUAUUAAAUUGGACAUGACAAACAAUAUGGACAUCUUGAAGGCUUAUGUUUCAGAUCAUCCAGCAAUAAACCAUUCUUUUGGUGAUUGUU